UCAAAACGUCAACAUUACAAUUGACUGCUCUGAAACCGCGUUUUUUUUUUUUUUAAUUACGCUAAUUGCCCCAUAUUUCAGAAAGUCGUUCUGAACAAUGAUGCGUAUAGCUUAUAUGUUAAAAUCAAUUCUAUAUUUCUUGAAUGCUGCUAUGACAGAAAAGAGAGGCGAAAGAUACCAUAGGGACAUUCAAACUCACAAGCGAAAAUAAACACCAUGACAAAAAAAGAAUAAAAAUACCAACAGACUAACAGACAAACAAUAGUACACAGAACACAACAUAGAGAACUUAAGACUGAACAACACGAACACCACCAAAAGCUGGUUGUGAUAUUAGGUGUUUCUGCAUGGAAGUUAAGCAAAUCCUGCUCCACAUAUGGCACCCGUCGUGUUGCUCAUUUUAGUACAAACC
rnacentral:lncRNA from 1 species